GACGAACGCUGGCGGCGUGCUUAACACAUGCAAGUCGAACGGAAAGGCCCUGCUUGCAGGGUACUCGAGUGGCGAACGGGUGAGUAACACGUGGGUGAUCUGCCCUGCACUUCGGGAUAAGCCUGGGAAACUGGGUCUAAUACCGGAUAGGAGCCAUUUUUAGUGUGAUGGUUGGAAAGUUUUUUCGGUGUAGGAUGAGCUCGCGGCCUAUCAGCUUGUUGGUGGGGUAAUGGCCUACCAAGGCGGCGACGGGUAGCCGGCCUGAGAGGGUGGACGGCCAAAUUGGGACUGAGAUACGGCCCAGACUCCUACGGGAGGCAGCAGUGGGGAAUAUUGCACAAUGGGCGCAAGCCGGAUGCAGCGACGCCGCGUGGGGGAUGACGGCCUUCGGGUUGGAAACUCCUUUCGCUAGGGACGAAGCUUUUUGUGACGGUACCUAGAUAAGAAGCACCGGCUAACUACGUG
rnacentral:rRNA from 1 species